rnacentral:rRNA from 1 species
CACUGGGAGAACAUAACUCUCAGCAAUGCCUGCCCAGUGUGAUUAAAAAUCAUAAACGGCCGCCCUAGCGUGAGGGUGCUAAGGUAGCGAAAUUCCUUGCCUUUUAAUUGUAGGCCUGCAUGAAUGGCUUAACGAGGGCUUAACUGUCUCUGGUUUACAGGGUCUAAAUUGGAUUAAAGGUGAAGAUACCUUUAUAUAAAAGUCAGACAAGAAGACCCCGUGCAACUUUCAAAAUCGGUUUAUUGAGAAACUUUAAGAUUUUUAGGUGGGGCGCCUACUGAGUAAUACUAACCUCUGUGUAUGGAAAAACUUUCAAGUAUAGACCCGGCAAUGCCGAUCAUAGGAGAAGUUACGCCGGGGAUAACAGGCUAAUUCACUAGUAGAGAACGUAUUGGCUAGUGGGAUUGGCACCUCGAUGUUGAAUCAGGGAUGAUACCUUUAAGGCGUAGAAGCUUUGAAAGUGGGUC